rnacentral:rRNA from 1 species
GACGAACGCUGGCGGCGUGCUUAACACAUGCCAGUCGAACGGUAAGGCUCCAGCUUGCUGGGGUACACGAGUGGCGAACGGGUGAGUAACACGUGGGUGACCUGCCCUGCACUUCGGGAUAAGCCUGGGAAACUGGGUCUAAUACCGGAUAGGACCGCACCGUGAGGGUGUGGUGGAAAGUUUUUUCGGUGUGGGAUGGGCCCGCGGCCUAUCAGCUUGUUGGUGGGGUAAUGGCCUACCAAGGCGGCGACGGGUAGCGGGCCUGGGGGGGGGGACGGCCACAUGGGGAUGGGGAAACGGCCCAGAUCCCUACGGGAGGGAGCAGGGGGGAAUAUUGCCAAAUGGGCGGAAGCCUGAUGCAGGGACGCCGGGGGGGGGAGGACGGCCUUGGGGUUGUAAACUCCUUUCCCCAUCGACGAAGGGUUUCUGACGGUAGAUGGAGAAGAAGCCCCGGCUAACUACGG